rnacentral:rRNA from 1 species
GACGAACCGUGCAAACGUUAUUCGGAAUCACUGGGCAUAAAGGGCGCGUAGGCGGCUUUCUAAGUCAGGGGUGAAAUCCGGCAGCUCAACUGUCGCAGUGCCUUUGAUACUGGAGAGCUCGAGGGAGGUAGGGGUCUGUGGAACUUCUGGUGGAGCGGUGAAAUGCGUUGAUAUCAGAAGGAACGCCGGUGGCGAAAGCGGCAGACUGGACCUCUUCUAACGCUGAGGCGCGAAAGCUAGGGGAGCAAACGGG